rnacentral:rRNA from 1 species
UGGGGAAUAUUGCACAAUGGAGGAAACUACUGAUGCAGCGACGCCGCGUGAACGAUGAAGUAUUUCGGUAUGUAAAGUUCUAUCAGCAGGGAAGAUAAUGACGGUACCUGACUAAGAAGCUCCGGCUAAAUACGUGCCAGCAGCCGCGGUAAUACGUAUGGAGCAAGCGUUAUCCGGAUUUACUGGGUGUAAAGGGAGCGUAGGCGGUCUUGCAAGUCUGAAGUGAAAAACCCCGGGCUCAACCCUGGGAUUGCUUUGGAAACUGUAGGACUGGAGUGUCGGAGGGGCAUGUGGAAUUCCUGGUGUAGCGGUGAAAUGCGUAGAUAUCAGGAGGAACACCGGUGGCGAAGGCGGCAUGCUGGACGACUACUGACGCUGAUGCUCGAAAGCGUGGGGAGCAAACAGGAUUAGAUACCCUGGUAGU